rnacentral:rRNA from 1 species
GAUGGCCUUCGGAUUUGAGUUCUGCAUGUUAUGCGGAUAAAUCGGUCGUAACAGGGUUCGAUGGCAAUGGAUGAACCUGGCGCGGGGUUGCCAUACCGUCAGGACUGUGGCUGGACUUACAAUCUGGUGGCGAGUGGCGAACGGUGAAGCUAAUGUAUCCCGGAACGUACUAGUGGCGGGGGAUAACUACGCCGAAAGCGUGGCGUCUGCAGCGCGCCCUUCAGGGGAAAGCGGGGACCUUCAGGGACACUCGCACCUGUGGCGACAGCCGAUAUCGGAUUAGCUAGUUGGUGGGAGUAACGGCUCGCAAGGCGACAGUCGCCAUUCGGUUUUCAAGAACCAUUAAACCCUGGAAGCGCGGGCGUGCGGAAUACUACGGAAAUUAGCAAGUCGAGAUUUGUGGACGAUGAGCUAUGAUCCGCCUGUGUUGCGAUAAAACCCAUCGGUUUGCCAAACCGCGUGCGGAAGGCGGUGCUGGAUGAUGCCUUCUGUCUUCAUAAUCAUUAUGCUGAUAACGGUUACUUCGUGCCAGCGGCCAUGAUGUGCAUUGAGGUGCGAUUAAUCAGGAUUACUGGGCGUAAAGCGUGCGCGACGGUUGGGGGAAGAAAGAUGUGAAAUCCCAGAGCUUAACUUUGGAACAUUUUUAACUACGAGCUAGAGUGUGUCAGAGGAGGUGGAAUUCCGCGUGUAGCGGUGAAAUGCGUAGAUAUGCGGGAGGAACACCAAUGGCGAGGCAGCCUCCUGGGAUAACACUGACGCUCAUGCACGAAAGCGUGGGGAGCAAACAGGAUUGAAUACCCUGGUAGUCCACGCCUAAACGAUGUCAACUAGCUGUUGGGGCCUUCGGGCCUUGGUAGCGCAGCUAACGCGUGAAGUUGACCGCCUGGAAAUACGGUCGCAAGGUCGAAACUCAAAGGAAUUGACGGGGACCCGCACAAGCGGUGGAUGAUGUGGAUUGGGUCCGUGCAACGCGAAAAACCUUACCUACCCUUGACAUGUCUGGAAUCCCGAAGAGAUUUGGGAGUGCUCGCAAAGGGAACCGGAACACAGGUGCUUUGCAUGGCUGUCGUCGGCUCGUGUCGUGAGAUGUUGGGUUAAGUCCCACGCAACGAGCGCAACCCUUGUCAUUAGUUGCUACGAAGGGCACUCUAAUGAGACUGCCGGUGACAAACCGGAGGAAGGUGGGGAUGACGUCAAGUCCUCGCUGGCCCUUAUGGGUAGGGCUUCGCGUCGCUACAAUGGUCGGGACAGAGGGUCGCCAACCCGCGAGGGGGAGCCAAUCCCAAGAAACUGAUCGUAGUCCGGAUCGCAGUCUCUGCAACUCGACUGCGUGAAGUCGGAAUCGCUGGUAAUCGCGGAUCAGCAUGUCGCGGUGAAUACGUUCCCGGGUCUUGUACACACACCGCCCGUCACACCAUGGGAGUGGGUUUUACCAAGUAGUUAGCCUAACCGUGGAAGACGAUUACCACGGUAGGAUUCAUGACUGGGGUGAAGUCGUAACAAGGUAG